AAGAGAGCUUGAUUGCAAGACAUACAGGUCGAGCAAGGAUGAAAAUCGGACUUAGUGAUCCGGUGGUUCUGCGUGGAAGGGCCAUCGCUCAACGGAUAAAAGCUACCCUGGGGAUAACAGGCUUAUCUCCCCCAAGAGUCAACAUCGACGGGGAGGUUUGGCACCUCGAUGUCGGCUCAUCACAUCCUGGGGCUGUAGUAGGUCCCAAGGGUUGGGCUGUUCGCCCAUUAAAGUGGUACGCGAGCUGGGUUCAGAACGUCGUG
rnacentral:rRNA from 1 species